rnacentral:rRNA from 1 species
UGGAGCCGGGGCUAGAGCCCUUUUCCUCUAAUAAAAAUGGAGCAAGGCCAUGGGAUGCUGAUGCUCACCAGCUUCACAGGAUACUGAGCAGGCAGCUCCUGAUGCCGCGAUUCUGAUGGAGCAGGUCUUGAUGCGCCAAACGACGGCCAAAUCGAUCGCCCGGCGCGGCGCGGUCGAGGCCGGCAUUCCGUCGAACAGAGCGCGGGCGCCCGCCUACUCUCUCCCCGACGGCGAAACCUUCCAGUCCCUGUUCCCCUCGACGGCUACGCGCUCGGCCGAGGCAGAGGCCCCCACGCGGCAGGGGCGCUUCUGGCGUGGCGCCCCGAGCCGCGGCCACCUGCCUGCCCGGAUUCCAUCGCCCCACCUCAGUGCUCGCGCGCGCGGCGCGAGUGCGGCGCGAAUCCGAUCCCCCCGUAUAAGAAGAGGCGGGGGUGAGUGGGCGGAUGGGAACGCGGCCCGGCUCGCGAAACCGAAUCCUCCCUCCUCCUCCUCCUCCGGGAACUGCUUCGGAAUCGAGAUUCAUCCUUGCCGGUAGGUCGGCAACGCAACCAUGGAAGAAGGGAAAGACAAGAAUAACACCACCGAGAAGGGGCUGUUCUCAAACAUGAUGCAUGGGUAUCCACCUCAUGGAGGAUAUGGAUACCCUCCUCAAGGUUACCCGCCACCAGGGGUCCCCUACCCUGCUCCCGGGGCGUAUCCUCCUCCACCGCAAUAUGGGUACCCUCAGCCGGGUGGCUACCCACCUCACGGUGGAUAUCCCCCCGUCGGCUACCCUGGCUACGGGGGUGGCCACGGAGGCCAUGGCUAUGGCGGCGGGCACAUGGGCUACGGAGGCGGCUAUGGCGGCGGCGGCCAUGCUCUCGGGCACCACCAUGGAGGCCACGGCUACGGCCAUUAUGGUCACGGAGGCCAUGGCUACGGGCACCACGGUCCCGGACACUACCACGGCGGGCACGGCUGGGGGCACCAUGGCCAUGGAUAUCACCACCACCACCACCACGGCAAGCACGGUUACGGCAAGUUCAAGAAGUGCAAGUGAUUUGCGUCUGCACACGGUGAUUGCGCCUCAUCAACUAUCUUAAGUAAGCUUGGUUCCAGAAAUACUCGCGCGGCUGGGAAGAGCGCUAGCAUGUCUCCCGUGAGACUGAUGAUGCAAUGCACCUGUACUGUUACUGGAUACACCACAUAAUUUGGUGCUCCAGAUAAUAAGGUCUGCUAAUAAGUAGCGGAAUCACAUACCAGUCAUUUGCUGCAGUUCAGGUGUUCUCUUUUGUCCACACAUGGAUGUGCUUGCUCUUGGCUAGCUAGAUAUCAUGCCCGAUCAGAUCAGUGGUCAGUCCAUGCCCCUAGUACACACGUCAUGUGAAGGCCGGCGCCUGGGUGCGACCGUGGUGAUCAUCCUGCGCAGUUGCACGGCGCAAGGUCGGCGUUCAUCAUGUAGUGGCAGGCUGGCAGCCGCUGGGGAGGCGAGCUCCGGAGCUCCGGCGAGCAGCUACCCCCUCCCUCCCUGCCGUGCCGUGCCGUGCCAAGCUCAAGCGAGAACAAAGAGAGGUGGUCGACAAGGUGGCUGGCCGUGUGGAACCAUGGCAAGAUUGUUGUUGGCCUCGGGAGGUAGGCUGGUUCUUAUAAACGACCGCCUCACCAACAUCCCAAUGUUUAUCAUGGGAUUCUACCUGUUACAGUACAAGAUAGCAUUCAUGACAAAUUGGAUAGGGUGCGAUUCAGUUUUUUUGUUCUAUAGAAGUAAAGAGCAAGGCAAGCAUAAAUACCAUAUGAUCAAGUGGGAGGCUAUAUGUUCUCCAAAAGAAAAGGGUGGCCUUGGUGUGAUAAACACCAAAAAUUAUGAAUUGGUGCCUUAUCUCAAAGUGGGCAUGGAAAAUUCUAGUUGGGCAAGGUGGACUUUGGCUGGAAAUAAUCAAAGCAAAGUACUUAUCGAAAGAGGUAAUGGACUUCCGCCCAAAUGCCAAACUAUCCCAAUUUGCCAAAGGGGUGCGAAAGGUGCAACCACUGCUCUGCUUGGGUGCUGGAUUCCAUAUGAAUAACCAAAGAGUAGAGCUCUUCUGUUUAGAUAAAUGGUGUGGCGAGAGGGCUCUUAGCGAAUCAAACCCUAGUUUGUUCGCCAUAUCGGAGCUCCCCGAGGCUAAAGUGGCGGACGUAUGGGUGAAAAAUCGGUGGGAUCCUAGAUUUCAUUGAUCUAUCGGAGUCAACGAAGCGCACGAA